rnacentral:rRNA from 1 species
GACGAACGCUGGCGGCGUGCUUAACACAUGCAAGUCGAACGGAAAGGCCCUGCUUUUGUGGGGUGCUCGAGUGGCGAACGGGUGAGUAACACGUGAGUAACCUGCCCUUGACUUUGGGAUAACUUCAGGAAACUGGGGCUAAUACCGGAUAGGAGCUCCUGCUGCAUGGUGGGGGUUGGAAAGUUUCGGCGGUUGGGGAUGGACUCGCGGCUUAUCAGCUUGUUGGUGGGGUAGUGGCUUACCAAGGCUUUGACGGGUAGCCGGCCUGAGAGGGUGACCGGCCACAUGGGGACUGAGAUGCGGCCCAGACUCCUAUGGGAGACAGCAGUCGGGAAUAUUGCACAAUGGGCGGAAGCCUGAUGCAGCAACGCCGCGUGCGGGAUGACGGCCUUCGGGUUGUAAACCGCUUUCGCCUGUGACGAAGCGUGAGUGAAGGUAAUGGGUAAAGAAGCACCGGCUAACUACGUG